GUCCUUGUAGCACAAUGGACUGUGAAUUGGAUUUCUAAUCCAAAUGUCGUGGGUUCAAAUCCCACCUGGGAUG